GCCUCUAUGGCGGAACAGAUAGAUUUAUCGGAUUUAGAAUCUGAUGAAUUGGCAUUUGUGCAGGUUCGAUUCCUGCUAGGCGCA
rnacentral:tRNA from 1 species